rnacentral:rRNA from 1 species
GAUGAACGCUGGCGGCGUGCUUAACACAUGCAAGUCGAACGGGAAUUAUUUUAUUGAAACUUCGGUCGAUAUGAUUUAAUUCUAGUGGCGGACGGGUGAGUAACGCGUGGGUAACCUGCCUUGUACAGGGGGAUAACAGUCAGAAAUGGCUGCUAAUACCGCAUAAGCGCACAGAGCUGCAUGGCUCCGUGUGAAAAACUACGGUGGUAUAAGAUGGACCCGCGUUGGAUUAGCUUGUUGGCAGGGUAACGGCCUACCAAGGCGACGAUCCAUAGCCGGCCUGAGAGGGUGAACGGCCACAUUGGGACUGAGACACGGCCCAGACUCCUACGGGAGGCAGCAGUGGGGAAUAUUGCACAAUGGGGGAAACCCUGAUGCAGCGACGCCGCGUGAAGGAAGAAGUAUCUCGGUAUGUAAACUUCUAUCAGCAGGGAAGAGAUUGACGGUACCUGACGAAGAAGCCCCGGCUAACUACGUG